rnacentral:rRNA from 1 species
UCCAAACCGUAAACGAUGCUUGCUAGGUGUUUCUUUAUGUAUAUAGAGAAGUGUCGUAACCUAACGGGUUAAGCAAGCCGCCUGAGUAGUAUAUUCGCAAGAAUGAAACUCAAAGGGAUAGGCGGGGGAACACACAAGCAGUGGAUGAUCUAGAUUAAUUGGAUAUUAAGCCAACAAUCUUACCUAGACUUGACAUAUGUUGUGUCAUUAGUGAAAGCUAGUUAUUUUGUAGC